GCAUAUCAAUAAGCGGAGGAAAAGAAACCAACAGGGAUUGCCCUAGUAACGGCGAGUGAAGCGGCAACAGCUCAAAUUUGAAAUCUGGCGUCUUCGGCGUCCGAGUUGUAAUUUGCAGAGGGCGCUUUGGCAUUGGCAGCGGUCCAAGUUCCUUGGAACAGGACGUCACAGAGGGUGAGAAUCCCGUACGUGGUCGCUAGCCUUUACCGUGUAAAGCCCCUUCGACGAGUCGAGUUGUUUGGGAAUGCAGCUCUAAAUGGGAGGUAAAUUUCUUCUAAAGCUAAAUACUGGCCAGAGACCGAUAGCGCACAAGUAGAGUGAUCGAAAGAUGAAAAGCACUUUGGAAAGAGAGUUAAAAAGCACGUGAAAUUGUUGAAAGGGAAGCGCUUGCAGCCAGACUUGCCUGUAGUUGCUCAUCCGGGUUUUUACCCGGUGCACUCUUCUAUAGGCAGGCCAGCAUCAGUUUGGGCGGUUGGAUAAAGGUCUCUGUCAUGUACCUCCCUUCGGGGAGAACUUAUAGGGGAGACGACAUGCAACCAGCCUGGACUGAGGUCCGCGCAUCUGCUAGGAUG
rnacentral:rRNA from 1 species